UGACCUCAAAUCAGGUAGGACUACCCGCUGAACUUAAGCAUAUCAAUAAGCGGAGGAAAAGAAACUAACAAGGAUUCCCCUAGUAACGGCGAGUGAAGCGGGAAGAGCUCAAAUUUGUAAUCUGGCGGCCUCUGGUCGUCCGAGUUGUAGUCUGGAGAAGCGUUUUCCGCGUCGGACCGUGUACAAGUCCCUUGGAACAGGGCGUCAUAGAGGGUGAGAAUCCCGUCUUUGACACGGACUGCCGACGCUCUGUGAUGCGCUCUCGAAGAGUCGAGUUGUUUGGGAAUGCAGCUCAAAACGGGUGGUAAAUUCCAUCUAAAGCUAAAUAUUGGCGAAAGACCGAUAGCGAACAAGUACCGUGAGGGAAAGAUGAAAAGCACUUUGGAAAGAGAGUUAAACAGUACGUGAAAUUGUUGAAAGGGAAACGCUUGAAGUCAGUCGCGUCUCCCGGGACUCAGCCUUGCUUUGCCAGGCGUAUUUCCCGGGGCGACGGGCCAGCAUCGAUUUUGACCGUCGGAGAAAGGCUUUGGGAACGUGGCACCUUCGGGUGUGUUAUAGCCCUCGGUCGUAUGCGACGGUCGGGAUUGAGGACCGCAGCACGCCUUUUUGGCCGGGGUUCGCCCACGUAACGUGCUUAGGA
rnacentral:rRNA from 1 species